rnacentral:misc_RNA from 1 species
UUAAUUAAUUUAAUAAUUGUCUCAGACUGCAUACUUCAGACAGCGUUCACAGGUGGCUUCGGCGGGCGCGGGCCCGGGGGCGGAUGCCCCCCGGCGGCCGUGAGGCGGGCCCGCCGAAGCAACAAGGUACGAUAAACACGGGUGGGAGGUUGGACCCAGAGGGCCCUCACUCGGUAAUGAUCCUUCCGCAGGUUCACCUACGGAAA